rnacentral:miRNA from 1 species
ACCCCCCGAUAAGAAUGCUCCAAGUGACAACAUUCGGACUUAGUCCACAAUUAACCAUUUCACCCAAGAGAUGCAUAACCUUAUUUAUGUUUUUAAUUUUACACCAUCCAUGAAUUAAUGAAUUA